UACGGAGGGUGCAAGCGUUAAUCGGAAUUACUGGGCGUAAAGCGCACGUAGGUGGUUUGUUAAGCUAGCUGUGAAAUCCCCGGGCUCAACCUGGGCACUGCAGUUAGAACUGGCAAGCUAGAGUAGGGUAGAGGGGUGUGGAAUUCCAGGUGUGAGCGGUGAAAUGCGUAGAUAUCUGGAGGAACAUCAGUGGCGAAGGCGACACCCUGGACUCAUACUGACACUGAGGUGCGAAAGCGUGGGGAGCAAACAGG
rnacentral:rRNA from 1 species